rnacentral:tRNA from 1 species
CAAAUAAUAGUUUAAUAAAAAUAUUAGCAUUGGAAGCUAAAGAUUAGGAUGGUGUACCUAUAAUUUGA